UACGUAGGGGGCGAGCGUUGUCCGGAGUUACUGGGCGUAAAGCGCACGCAGGCGGUCUGCUAAGUUUGGAGUGACAGUUGGUGGCUUAACUGCCAAAGUGCUUCGAAAACUGACAGACUUGAGGGCUUCAGAGGGACACGGAAUUCCGGGUGGAGUGGUGAAAUGCGUAGAGGUCCGGAGGAACACCAAAGGCGAAGGCAGUGUCCUGGGGAGUACCUGACGCUCAGGUGCGAAAGCCAGGGGAGCGAACGGG
rnacentral:rRNA from 1 species